rnacentral:tRNA from 1 species
GCUGUGACGGUCAAGUGGUUAAGGCCUUGGACUCGAAACCCCUUGGGGUCUCCCCAGGCAGGUUCAAAUCCUGCUCACAGCAC